rnacentral:rRNA from 1 species
CCUACGGGAGGCAGCAGUGAGGAAUAUUGGUCAAUGGUCGGGAGACUGAACCAGCCAAGCCGCGUGAGGGAGGAAGGUACAGAGUAUCGUAAACCUCUUUUGUCAGGGAACAAAGGCGGGGACGUGUCCCCGGAUGAGUGUACCCGAAGAAAAAGCAUCGGCUAACUCCGUGCCAGCAGCCGCGGUAAGACGGAGGAUGCGAGCGUUAUCCGGAUUUGUUGGGUUUAAAGGGUGCGCAGGCGGUCUGUUAAGUCAGCGGUCAAAGCCCGGGGCCCAACCCCGGGCCGCCGUUGAAACUGGCAGUCUCGAGUUGGAGAGAAGUAUGCGGAAUGCGCGGUGUAGCGGUGAAAUGCAUAGAUAUCGCGCAGAACUCCGAUUGCGAAGGCAGCAUGCCGGCUCCACACUGACGCUGAGGCACGAAAGCGUGGGUAUCGAACAGGAUUAGAUACCCCAGUAGUC